GACGAACGCUGGCGGCGUGCUUAACACAUGCAAGUCGAACGGUGAAAGCGGAGCUUGCUCCGCUGGAUCAGUGGCGAACGGGUGAGUAACACGUGGGCAACCUGCCCCUCACUUCGGGAUAACUCCGGGAAACCGGGGCUAAUACCGGAUAUGACCUCCUUGGGCAUCCUUGGAGGUGGAAAGCUUUUCGGUGAGGGAGGGGCCCGCGGCCCAUCAGCUUGUUGGUGGGGUAGUGGCUCACCAAGGCGACGACGGGUAGGCGGCCUGAGAGGGCGACCGGCCACACUGGGACGGAGACACGGCCCAGACUCCUACGGGAGGCAGCAGUGGGGAAUAUUGCGCAAUGGGCGAAAGCCUGACGCAGCAACGCCGCGUGCGGGAUGACGGCCUUCGGGUUGUAAACCGCUUUCAGCAGGGAAGAAGCCGCAAGGUGACGGUACCUGCAGAAGAAGCACCGGCUAACUACGUGCCAGCAGCCGCCGUAA
rnacentral:rRNA from 1 species